rnacentral:rRNA from 1 species
UGGGGAAUAUUGCACAAUGGAGGGAACUCUGAUGCAGCGACGCCGCGUGAACGAAGAAGGCUUUCGAGUCGUAAAGUUCUUUUAUAUGGGAAGAUAAUGACGGUACCAUAAGAAAAAGCCCCGGCUAACUACGUGCCAGCAGCCGCGGUAAUACGUAGGGGGCUAGCGUUGUCCGGAAUCACUGGGCGUAAAGGGUUCGCAGGCGGAAAUGCAAGUCAGAUGUAAAAGGCAGUAGCUUAACUACUGUAAGCAUUUGAAACUGCAUAUCUUGAGAAGAGUAGAGGUAAGUGGAAUUUUUAGUGUAGCGGUGAAAUGCGUAGAUAUUAAAAAGAAUACCGGUGGCGAAGGCGACUUACUGGGCUCAUUCUGACGCUGAGGAACGAAAGCGUGGGUAGCAAACAGGAUUAGAUACCCUGGUAGUCCACGCUGUAAACGAUGAGUGCUAGGUGUCGGCGAAUGUCGGUGCCGCAGUUAACACAAUAAGCACUCCGCCUGGGGAGUACGUGUGCAAGCAUG